UUGUGGAGGCCCGCACCCACUUCAGUUGAAAAUGGAGGGGAUGACCUGUGGUUAGGGGUGAAAGGCCAAUCAAACUCUGUGAUAGCUGGUUCUCCCCGAAAUGCAUUUAGGUGCAGCGUUGCGUGGUUCUUGCCGGAGGUAGAGCUACUGGAUGGCUGAUGGGCCCCACCGGGUUACUGACGUCAACUAAACUCCGAAUGCCGGUAAGGUUCAGCGUGGCAGUGAGACAGUGGGGGAUAAGCUUCAUUGUCGAGAGGGAAACAGCCCAGACCAUCAACUAAGGCCCCUAAGCGUGUGCUGAGUGGGAAAGGAUGUUCAGUUGCGAAGACAACCAGGAGGUUGGCUUAGAAGCAGCCACCCUUGAAAGAGUGCGUAAUAGCUCACUGGUCAAGUGAUUGAGCGCCGAUAAUGUAGCGGGGCUAAGUACACCGCCGAAGUUGUGGCAGCAUCACGAUACUGUAAUGGUGUGGUGUUGGGUAGGGGAGCGUCGUGUCGCCAGUGAAGUCGCCGUGUGAACGAGUGGUGGAGGCGUCACGAGUGAGAAUGCAGGCAUGAGUAGCGAAAGACGGGUGAGAAACCCGUCCACCGGAUGACCAAGGGUUCCAGGGCUAGGCUAAUCCGCCCUGGGUAAGUCGGGACCUAAGGCGAGGCCGACAGGCGUAGUCGAUGGACAACCAGUUGAUAUUCUGGUACCGACACACAACCGACAAUACCAAAACACAUGACACUAACUCAUCGCUCACCCCUGAGUACUUCGGUACUUGGUUUGGGUGGACCGGUGAGGACCUGAGUGUGGAGUCGGUAAGCGUGAGGUGUGACGCAGAAAGGUAGCCAGGCCACGCGAUGGUAGUCGUGGUCUAAGGUCGUAGCAUGUGGGGGUAGGCAAAUCCGUCCCCACACAAGUGUGAGAGCUGAUGGGCGCCCCACAGUGGUGGGGUGAUCUGGUGAUCCUCUGCUGCCGAGAAAAGCAUCGACGUGAGGGUGUGUGUUGCCCGUACCCUAUAACCGACACAGGUGGUCAGGUAGAGAAUACUAAGGUGAUCCGGAGAAUCGUGGUUAAGGAACUCGGCAAAAUGCCCCCGUAACUUCGGGAGAAGGGGGGCCAUCCUGGUGAACAGCCCUUGCGGUUGGGAGCUGGUGGUGGUCGCAGAGGCCAGAGAGAAGCGACUGUUUAUUAAAAACACAGGUCCGUGCGAAGAUGUAAGUCGAUGUAUACGGACUGACGCCUGCCCGGUGCUGGAAGGUUAAGAGGAC
rnacentral:rRNA from 1 species